GCUGGUAUAGCUCAAUUGGUAGAGCAUUUGAUUUGUAAUCAAUUGGUUAAAGGUUCAAGUCCUUCUAUCAGCU
rnacentral:tRNA from 1 species